UGAGGAGCAUAAGGAAAAGUGAUGAUCAAUUGUUUUUUUUUUUUCAAAUGAUCCAAAAAUUAUAUCUUUAUUCGCUACGUUCUUUCUGAUUCAUUC
rnacentral:snoRNA from 1 species